CAAACAAAUACAAAGCUUUUUCUUUUUCUCUUUGCAAAAUAUUCAUUUCAUUCACUUCAAAAUUCUCUUCCGAUUAUUCCAGAACAGAAGCGUGUGAUUAAAUCUGGGUCUGUUGCUUCGAUCGUUGAACACAAACGCACAAAUCUCUCAGGAAAACAUAAUAAAGCUCGCUGAUCAGCCUAUCGCAGUAGAGAAGAUAGGGAUACUUGUUCAAAAAAGCUUCCAAGGUACUUCACGUUCAAAAGAAAUAUCUUUAAGCUGCAAAGACCAAAAGUUUCAGCAUACAAGGGUUGAGGUAAGUAUCUCUCUCUCUUACCACAAACUGGCCAUAGACUAGUCCUCUGGCCUGUGGCAUGUUCAUCAUGUAUUUUUUCCAUGUUGUUUUAUCCCAGAAAUAGAUCAAAGAUGGCAAAAACACAAAUUCACGCUCAAUCACAACAAAAUUCUAAAACACAAAUUCACGCUCAAACGAAAUUUAAACACACGAAAACAUAACACAAACACACUUCCAAACGCAUGCAUAUUCAAAAGAAAAAAGAAAACACAAUUCACGCUCAAUCACAGAAAAAAUCUAACUCAAACAGUAAAACUAAACAAUAGGAACAAAAAACUUCACAUUCCACGAAUUGAUGUGUAACUUGCAGGGAAGAGUCCUCUUCUGAUUCCCAGUUUAUGGAGGAACCAUGGACGGUAGAUUGGAUGACAUGGUCUUGUGAUGCUCGAAACUCGAUUAUUCUCGAACCAAUCAUUCUACCGAGCUUUUCUUCUUACAAGUCAAAUCAGACCAAUUCUGCAAAAAGCUUAACCUCUGUCAAGAAGUGACGGCCCUUGCUUCAGACUGUCACCAAACUCAAGGAUCCUGAGACAAAGCUGAAACUCCGCAUAUCUCUCAAGGUAUCCAGUCGCUAAACAAUUACCAGGAAAAGUGCUUGAAGGUGGUGUUUGAGUACGGCCUCUGAUGCUUGCGGAAGUUUCCCCAGGGGAAUCAACAUAAUACACACAGAAAAAGGCUCUGGUUGUGGAUGACAGUAACAGAAUCCCCUAAUCUUGAGCCUCAGUGAUAAGAUGGCCAAAAUCUCGUGAAUAUGGGAGACCAAGCAUUCUUUUAGUGCAUCCUGUUAAGGGUUUCAAGAUGAAGGAGUGUUUAGCUGCAAAGAAGAUCUGAAGACCAUUCAAAGGUAUGGUGAUUGAUGAAGUAGCUCACUCUCUCUCUCUCUCUCAAUCUUUCUCUCUCUCACUUAUCACAUCUCUUGCACUGUCUCAAAAACAGAACAUAAAUUCACGAAAACACACGCUCAAAUGCACACAAAAAAAUGAAACACAAACACAACUUAAACUCACUAAGACACAACGAAAUUCAAACACACAAAACCAAAACAUAGCACAGAACGUCCAAACAACUUCCAAAACAGAAAGCAAACUUUUACAAAAAUUCUUUAACCAAAAGUGUGGAUAAUCAUAUUUGAUGUCAAGAACUUGCUUUGUGAAUGUUCCACAUUUCUUACUCUUUUUUAAUAUAUUGCCUUAGAAUAGCUUCUAUUAACUUAUUUCUUGGUAAAUGGUUUCAUGAGAAAGAGGAAAUGUCUCAGAUGCGUUUCAACGUACUCAUGAAUGAUAAGGGGUGUAGUUAUAAUCUUCUAUUUUCAGAUGAUAGCUCCCACCGGUUCUGCCUCAAGAUUAGAGAAUGAAUAUAACUUAGUGUGAGCCUGCUGAUGUAUCUGUUAAGGAGUUGGUAAAUAGACUUGCUGAUGUAUCUAUUAAGGAGUUGGUAAAGAGACUUGAAGAAGGACUAACAACACUUAAAGACGUCAGUGAAAAAUUAAAAGUCUUGUGAAUAUGGGAGAGCCAAGCAUUUUCAUGUUAAGGUUAAAAGUAUGAAUGAGAAGCAACGGAUGUAACAGUAAGAGUUUCAUUAAUUAUUUCUCGGCUAUAAUUUUGUUGUAUAAAUUUUAUCUUGUGAUUAUCUUUUUUUGAUAUGUUUCACUAUGCUCAAAGUAAAUAACAAAGUAUUCUAACUUUUAGGAGCAGCAAAGAAUCUUGGUGUAGCUGAGAACAAGUGACUCUUGGAUGACGUAACUGAGUUAGUUACGGUAACUCUCUCUUGCUCUCUCUCUCUUCAAAAAAACACAUCCAAAAAUGUUCCUUACACAACGAACAAAAAAAAAACACUAAACACCACCAAAAAAAAAAAAAAAACAUUAAACUUAAAAAUGCAAAAAUAAACUCCACAACUCACGAUCACGUAAAUUCAACAAAAUCAUGAUAACAUAAAUUCUUGAAAUUCAACAUAAACAAAAAAACAUUAAUUUAAACACAUGUAAAAAUACAAUAAAAAUGCUUAAAAUAAACUCCAUAUUUUCACGAUCACAUAAAUAAAUCAUAAACAAACAAAAAAACAUUAUUUUUAAAACACACGCAACAAGUAAAUACAAAAAUACAAUAAAAAAUAAACAUAAAUUCCACAAAUUCACAAACAAGUAAAUUAAAUCAUAAACAAAAAAAUAUUAAUUUAAACACAGGCAAAAAUACAAUAAAAUACUAAAAUAAACUCCACAUCUUCACGAUCACAGAAAUUAAUCAUAAACAAACAAAAAUACAUUAUCUUUAAAACACACACAACAAGUAAACACAAAAAAUACGAGAAAAAUGCAAAAAUAAAUUCCACAACUUCAUGAUCACAUAAGUUCCACAAAAUCACGAUAAUAGAAACUCCACAAAUUCACGAUCACGUAAAAGGAAAUACAAAAGUACAAGAAAAUUGCAAAAAUACACUUUACAACUUCAUAAUCACAGAAAUUCCACAAAUUCACGAUUACAAGAGUUUGCUUAGGCAUGAUUAUAACCGUAUUUCGGUUUGUAACCGAACUGUCUUUAAAUAAUAACUAGUUUGUAAACGUAUCAAGCGGUUAAAAAACCUUAACCGUUAACCAUAAAAGUAUUAGCUAUGGACUAUGGUUAAAAAUACACUAACUUUUAAUUAACCAUACAGUCAAAACCUUACAAAUAUAUUGUAAAUGUGUAUAAUGCAAAGACAAUGAUCGAAUGUUCCGAUAAUUUUUUUUUUCUUAAUGAUAAUGCAUAUGUAAAGAUCUAUGUUAAAG
rnacentral:misc_RNA from 1 species